GGGCCUGUGGUGUAGCGGUUAACAUGCCUGCCUGUCACGCAGGAGAUCGCGGGUUCGAAUCCCGUCAGGCCCGCCA
rnacentral:tRNA from 4 species